rnacentral:rRNA from 1 species
UAGGGAAUAUUAGUAAUGGGCGAAAGCCUGAACUAGCAACGCCGCGUGUGCGAAGAAGGCCUUCGGGUUGUAAAGCACUUUUUGAGAGGGUGAGGAAGGACGGUACUCUCAGAAUAAGUCUCGGCUAACUACGUGCCAGCAGCCGCGGUAACACGUAGGAGGCGAACGUUAUCCGGAUUUACUGGGCGUAAAGCGCGUGUAGGUGGUUUGGUAAGUAGGGCGUGAAAGCUCCUGGCUCAACUGGGAGAGGCCGUUCUAAACUGCCGAACUAGAGGAUGGUAGAGGGAGGUGGAAGUCCGGGUGUAGCGGUGGAAUGCGCAGAUAUCCGGAGGAACACCAGUGGCAAAAGCGGCCUCCUGGACCAUUCCUGACACCCAGACGCGAAAGCUAGGGUAGCAAACGG